rnacentral:rRNA from 1 species
AGUGAACGCUGGCGGUAGGCCUAACACAUGCAAGUCGAACGGCAGCACAGUAAGAGCUUGCUCUUACGGGUGGCGAGUGGCGGACGGGUGAGGAAUACAUCGGAAUCUACUUUUUCGUGGGGGGUAACGUAGGGAAACUUACGCUAAUACCGCAUACGACCUACGGGUGAAAGGAGGGGAUCUUCGGACCUUGCGCGAUUGAAUGAGCCGAUGUCGGAUUAGCUAGUUGGCGGGGUAAAGGCCCACCGAGGCGACGAUCCGUAGCUGGUCUGAGAGGAUGAUCAGCCACACUGGAACUGAGACACGGUCCAGACUCCUACGGGAGGCAGCAGUGGGGAAUAUUGGACAAUGGGCGCAAGCCUGAUCCAGCCAUACCGCGUGGGUGAAGAAGGCCUUCGGGUUGUAAAGCCCUUUUGUUGGGAAAGAAAAGCAGCAGGUUAAUACCCCGCUGUUCUGACGGUACCCAAAGAAUAAGCACCGGCUAACUUCGUG